ACAUGCCUACAACAUAGCGUUAAUGAACUAGAUCUCAUUAGAAUUUCGUAGUUAAGAAUGCCUAGGCUAGAGUAGUAUUGGGAUGGGUGACUGUCGAGGAAGUCCUAGUAUUUUACAUGCC
rfam:Picea glauca, whole genome shotgun sequence.